UCACAUAUUUGCUGACCAUAUGCAAUAAUCGAUUUUUACAAUACAACAAUCGAUUAUUUAACAUUUCCGUUUUGCAGGAUUUUGGCGACCAUAUUGCAAUAAUCGAUUAUCAAUAUUUCAUAAUCGAUUAUAUUUGUGUUCUGUUUUGCAGAUUUUUGGGCAAACUUAUAACAUAAUCAAUUAUCCCAAUAGCCAUAAUCGAUUAUCUUAACAUUCUGUUUGUCAAAUGAUUAGUGAACAUAUAGUAUAAUCGAUUAUCUAUUUAUCGCAAUCGAUUAUUAACUAA
rnacentral:lncRNA from 1 species